rnacentral:rRNA from 1 species
GAUGAACGCUAGCUACAGGCCUAACACAUGCAAGUCGAGGGGCAGCGGGAAGGAAGCUGCUUUCUUCGCCGGCGACCGGCGCACGGGUGCGUAACGCGUAUCGAACCUACCCUUUACUCGGGAACAGCCUUGCGAAAGCAAGAUUAAUGCCCGAUGUUCCGCGUUUUGCUUGCAUGGCAAAUUCGGCAAAGAUUUAUUGGUAAAGGAUGGCGAUGCGUCCCAUUAGUUAGUUGGCGGGGUAACGGGCCCGA